ACGGUGCCGUUGGAUCCGUUGCGGGCGACGACAGGAGAUGCAGAGCGGGGCCGUUCCACCCGUAUCUGAAACGGCUGGGUGCUUCGUCGGAGCUCUCCGGCAGCGGACGGAACGGUUGGUGGAGAAGAUAUUUCUUCUUCUACUGGUGCAGAUGCCGGCGCGGCGGUUACUCAGGGAGGGAGAGUGUCGGAGCAUUCUCAGGCGAAAUCCUCAUGGCUUAAAUCCUCGUCGAGCCAUGUCGUAGGCGAAACACGACGUCCCAAAUCGACGAAGGACUCCGCAAAGGAACUGGAUCAGUGGAUCGCGAAUGUGAAGAAAGGGCAGCAUCCAGAGGCGAAUACGUUAAGGAGACUCUUGUUGAGGAGUCAAAUGUACAACCGGUUAAUAGCCCUGUGACUGUUUGUGGUGACAUCCAUGGCCAGUUUCAUGAUCUAAUGAAACUUUUUCAAACUGGAGGUCAUGUUCCUGAGACAAAUUACAUAUUCAUGGGUGACUUUGUCGAUCGUGGUUAUAACAAUCUGGAAGUUUUCACAAUUCUUUUGCUUCUGAAAGCCAGAACUUGGGACUGGAGGAUGUUGGAGUAGAGUUGGCAAAGAUUGGUGCAGUAUUGGUUGAUGAAUACUCUCCAACAUCAGUUGAUUCCAUUUGGGCUGUUGGAGAUGCUACAGAUAGAGUGAACUUGACCCCUGUUGCAUUGAUGGAAGGGAGGGGCAUUUGCUGAAACUGUGUUUGGUAAUGAACCCACAAAACCAGAUUACAGAUUUGUAUCUAUAGCAUUGUAGGGGUAAUUUGUAGAUGGUGCUCUAGAAAGAAAUGAUGUCUGGUAAACUAUGGCCUGAUUAUGAUUAGUGAAACAAGCAUGUUACAAGAAGAUGAGAAUAUUUAGAAUCCCUGUAUUCUCUUGCAUAAGCAUUUUGUCAAGAUUAUCUCCACUAGCAACGUCAGCUAGCUAGUUAAAUUGUUCUAAAUGAGCCUCCGGAGUCAUCUCUAAUCUAAUAUUUGUUUAUCAUUAUCAUUUUCUUUUGCAACCUACUAGUUGUCGUUACUCGUCACAUAUGAUAGAAGUUGAUGUGUUGUUUUUCUUUGUCUUUAGUUUUGCAGAAUGUCAUUAUUCAACCUCCUGAUGCUAUGGGUCAGGUAUGCAGCAAAAUAAAGUUUAUAUAGGCUUCAUGGAAGAUGGACUUUGCCAAAUUUUAUUGGCAACUAUCAACCUAAAGGCUAUUUGGAAUGUAGGAUCUACUCUCUGGUUUAUAGAUGAAGCUUGUGUAAGAAAUAACAAUCCUCUAAAUAAUACAUGGAAAUAAUUACAACAGAAGAUGAACACAAUCAAUUUUGAUUUACAGAUUUAUAUUCAUCGAAGAGGAAAAGAUGCAUAAACCUGCUAUUUUGUGUUAAAAAAUUAGCUAUAACAACUAAGCAAUUAAAUUGGUUUCAGGCUUAAAAUUCCAUAUUUCAGUGUUAUGGUAACCAGCUUUAACAGUACCAGUUUUUUAAAUGUUAUGGCAACCCUUUUUGACAAGUAAUUCUGUACGAUAAUGUCUUUUGUCUUAGCUUGUGAAGUCCAUCAUUGCCUUGCCACAAGCUGACAAUUAUCCCCAUCGGAAAGAACUUUCUUUUUUAUUUCUUUUAAUGUACUUGAACGGAGUGUUACAAAGAUAGCCUUUUACAACCAUAAACCUCCUAGAUCUAAUAAGGUGGAACCUGCCCCGAGGUCAUGAACAUAUUUGCUGGUUGUCAACCGCAAGCAGUAGCCUGGUAUUGUUAAAUGGAUUAGUCUAUGGUGCAGUAACUCAUGGCACCUUUUGAUUUCAAUUUCUUAUGAUCAGGUGCUUCCUGUGCUAUGUUGGGUAAAUUGCAAAAUUAUUUUUAGGGUUUAAGGAAAUAUAUCCUUAGUUUGAUGGGUAAUAUAUGAUAUGAAGAGUGUCCAUGCACUUAGUCAACCAAGUAAGAAGCAUAGGUGCAAAUGGAUGAUGAGCAUUUGUUUGUUGCAGCUUAAGUUUGCAUGACGUGUUCUUGUGAGACAUGUUAAUUCAUGCUUCUACAUUUGAGACUGUGAAUCAACUCUCACUAACAGUAUGUUUUAGUUUUCGGGCAAGUAAAGUUAAAUGGGUAGUUUGUCGGUGCAAAAUAAUAUCUUAUUAGUGGAUUGCAUGUGUAUGACAGAGCUGUGCCCUCUGCUGUAUUUUCCCAGCCUCCAAUUGGACAAGUUGGUCUUACCGAGGAGCAAGCUGUUCAAGAGUGUGGUGAAGUUGAUAUUUUCACAGCCAACUUCAGGCCUCUAAAGGCCACGCUUUCUGGCCUGCCUGAUUGGGUGUUUAUGAAACUUAUUGUGUGUGCAAACACAAAUACAGUAUUAGGUGUGCACAUGUGUGGGGAAGAUUCACCAGAGAUUAUACAGGGGAUUGCUAUAGCUGUAAAAGCUGGAUUGACAAAAGCAGAUUUUGAUGUCACCGUUGGAAUUCAUCCAACAUCUGCUGAGGAGCUUGUCACCAUGAGGAGUCAAACUGGAAAAUUCCGGAAGGGUCCUUCCUUAGCCAUGGAGAAGAGUGGCAUUGAGAUCAAAUCACAAAGUUGAUGAGUAACUCAUGAGUCAUCUCAUGAGAAUAUAAACCAAAUAAAAUACAGUGCUGCAGCUUCUACGGCCAGGAAGCGUUAUGCAGCAGUGAGUCUCACAAUCAGGCAGGAAUUGUGCAGCAAUGGAGCGUUUGCAGUGAUCAUUACUGGUGUAAACCUUUUUGAUGCUGCAUAAGUACUUCACUGAUCUUUUCUGGAUUGAUGGCGAUAGUGUACUACAUAGGAUUGCUUCCUCUUCAUCUAGACUUGGCAAAAGAUUAACUUCUCGUAGGAAGUGCUUGAUGUUCAGUUUUCACGGAAGACUACAAGACAUGCCACUCGAGGCUCAUCCCUGCAAAGGGUGUAGAAUACAGUAGUAUAUGAAUAGCAAGUUAAUUCUGAACGAUGUAACCGGGUCAUUUUUGAUCGAAGUAUUCGUGUAUUUAUUUUAAACCAUCUCUUGAUGCUUGAACAGAUCAUAUGUAAAAAGUAGUCUAAUCAAAUUACACUGAGGAAAUCUACCAAUGAUUUAUAUUUCUUUA